rnacentral:rRNA from 1 species
GACGAACCACACAAACGUUAUUCGGAAUUACUGGGCGUAAAGCGCGUGUAGGCUGUUCGGAAAGUCGGAUGUGAAAGCCCUGGGCUUAACCCAGGAAGUGCAUUCGAAACUCCCGAACUGGAGUCCUGGAGAGGAAGGCGGAAUUCUCGGUGUAGAGGUGAAAUUCGUAGAUAUCGAGAGGAACAUCGGUGGCGAAGGCGGCCUUCUGGACAGUGACUGACGCUGAGACGCGAAAGCGUGGGGAGCAAACAGG